rnacentral:rRNA from 1 species
GAUGAACGCUCGCUACAGGCUUAACACAUGCAAGUCGAGGGGAAACGACAUCGAAAGCUUGCUUUUGAUGGGCGUCGACCGGCGCACGGGUGAGUAACGCGUAUCCAACCUGCCCAUCACUUGGGAAUAACCUUGCGAAAGUAAGACUAAUACCCAAUGACAUCCCACGAAGACAUCUGAAUGGGAUUAAAGAUUUAUCGGUGAUGGAUGGGGAUGCGUCUGAUUAGCUUGUUGGCGGGGUAACGGCCCACCAAGGCAACGAUCAGUAGGGGUUCUGAGAGGAAGGUCCCCCACAUUGGAACUGAGACACGGGCCAAACUCCUACGGGAGGCAGCAGUGAGGAAUAUUGGUCAAUGGGCGAGAGCCUGAACCAGCCAAGUAGCGUGCAGGAUGACGGCCCUAUGGGUUGUAAACUGCUUUUAUAAGGGAAUAAAGUGGGUCUCGUGAGACUUUUUGCAUGUACCUUAUGAAUAAGGACCGGCUAAUUCCGUG